UACGGAGGGUGCAAGCGUUAAUCGGAAUUACUGGGCGUAAAGCGUGCGCAGGCGGUUUGUAAGUCUGUCGUGAAAUCCCCGGGCUUAACCUGGGAAUUGCGAUGGAGACUGCAAGGCUAGAAUCUGGCAGAGGGGGGUAGAAUUCCACGUGUAGCAGUGAAAUGCGUAGAGAUGUGGAGGAACACCGAUGGCGAAGGCAGCCCCCUGGGUCAAGAUUGACGCUCAUGCACGAAAGCGUGGGGAGCAAACAGG
rnacentral:rRNA from 1 species